AGCUAAUAGAUACCCAGGUAGUCCUGGCAGUAAACGGUGCGCGUUUGGUGUGGGAGGAUUUCGACCCCUCUGUGCCGGAGCUAAACGACGUUAAACGACGCCGCCUGGGGAGUACGGUCGCAAGAUUAAAACUACAAAGAAAUUAGACGGGGGCCCGGCGACAAGCGGUGGAGUAUGUGGCUAAUUCGAUAGCAACGCGAAGAACCUUACCUAGCCUUGACAUGCAUCUCUAAGUCGGUGAAAGACCGGCGACUAUAGCAAUAUAGAAUUUAGUCACAGGUGGCUGCAUGGCUGUCGUCAGCUCGUGUCGUGAGAUGUUGGGUUUAA
rnacentral:rRNA from 1 species